GGGACUCCAGGGAGACAGAACAGACUCAACACUCUGCCAUCAGCUGAGAAGGCUGCCAGAUUUUUCAGACCCCAAUCUGUCACCAGACGGAGCCGUGUGUCUGAACCAAACACAUGGAAUCUGGAGGUUAAAAGACUGCCAAGAAGUCAAGGGGAGAGAGAAAUGAGGAUGGAAAAGGAAACUCUGCUGUUCUGUGGCCUUUGGGGCUUUGACCUCGUCUGGAAGCCAUAAACACUGCUCUCAGCCCAUCGCCUGAAUUCUGAGGUUCAGCCGUCUGCCACACACUCUCUGGGUGACCUUGACCACAAUCAUCUCCUGUGGAUUCCCAGUGGCACCUGUCUGGCUCAAGCCCCUGCUCUGCCUACAGAGCUGCAUAUACAGCUGCCUCUAGAACAUUUCUAUCUGGUGGCUCCCUUUCCACUCAAGCACGUAAUAUGCAUUGAGUUAAUUGUUGGGCAUUAAAGUCGGGUCCACACUGACUCUUACAUUAAGAUUGCCUUGGCUUCUUCCCUACCAAGCCUUCUGACCUUCCUGGGGAGAUAGCUAUGAUCAUGUCACUCCAGUGAACAGAAAAAUCUUCAGUGGCUCCCUUCUGUCUGUGGACUAAAGUCCAGACUCUUUAGGCUAUCGUGACAUACCAAGGCUUGUCUUCUGUAUCCCUCGAAUCUACAACCACGAGUGCCUCUAUAGUUUGAGACCCAGUAAAUUUACCUAUUAUGCAAACCUGGAAAUCUAUCCUGGGAUUGCCCCUUCUGAUAAUUCUAAUUCCUUAGUGUCCCUUGACUGUAUCCCCCUUAUCUAUCUGCGUCCCACAACAAUGCAGGCUGUCAUUUGUCUCCAUAGGAAGACUGCACCUGCCUGAAUGGACCUAUCACUCACUC
rnacentral:lncRNA from 1 species